AAGAGAGAGACAUGCGCGCAUAUCAAUAAGCGGAGGAAAAGAAACUAACAAGGAUUCCCUUAGUAACGGCGAGUGAAGCGGGAAGAGCUCAAAUUUGAAAUCUUCAAGGUCCUACCUUGACGAAUUGUAGUUUAUAGAAGUGUUUUCUGUUAGUGGAGUGGCAAAAGUUCUUUGGAAUAGGACAUCAUAGAGGGUGAGAAUCCCGUAUUUGGUCAUUCCUCCUAGCGCUGUGAUACACUUUCAACGAGUCGGAUUGUUUGGGAAUGCAGUCCAAAAUGGGUGGUAAAUUUCAUCUAAAGCUAAAUAUUGGCGAGAGACCGAUAGCGAACAAGUACCGUGAGGGAAAGAUGAAAAGAACUUUGAAAAGAGAGUUAAACAGUACGUGAAAUUGUCAAAAGGGAAGCGUUUGACACCAGUGUUGUUUUUCCGAAAAUCAAUUACGAAUGUUUUAGUUUUUGAGGAGUUAUGACUUCAUCGGCUUGCUCCUUUCUUUAUGAAACUUUCUUAAUGCACUUUUCGGUUAACAAGUCAACAUCAAUUUCUUUUGUUGUAAAAGGGUAUGAGGAAGGUGGCUUUCUUUUCGGAGAAAGUGUUUAUAGCCUUGUGCCUCUGCAAUCGGAGAGAUUGAGGUCUGCAGCGUAGAUCCUUCGGGGUUAGAUACGUUUGUGCUAAGUUAUAGCUUUUCAUAGACAACUUGUUGACUAUGUUUAGUCUUGUAGCUUACUCGCUGACGCUAUUUUACCUACGCUUAGGAUGUUGAUAGUCACAGCGUGUAC
rnacentral:rRNA from 1 species